GAUUAAACUAAAUAAAGCACGCCUAAUUAUUGUGACGUCACAUGCUAGUAUUUCAUAGAAGCUCGCGUACUAAAUGCGUGUUUUGACGUUUGAUAAAAAUAUACUGACUUGAGUAGUUGUCAAACACCAGAUUCACGAGCGAGCGU